GGUCCCGUCUAGCUCAACUGGUAGAGCGUUAACACCGCCGGGGUUAGGGUGUUCGAUUCCCACCGGGGCCA